GUUUUUUUUUUUUUUUUUUUUUUUUUUUUUUUUUUUUUUCCUCUGUUC
rnacentral:ribozyme from 1 species